CGGCCAGACUCCUACGGGAGGCAGCAGUGGGGGAUAUUGGACAAUGGGGGGAACCCUGAUCCAGCGACGCCGCGUGAGUGAAGAAGUAUCUCGGUAUGUAAAUCUCUAUCAGCAGGGAAGAUAAUGACGGUACCUGACUAAGAAGCCCCGGCUAACUACGUGCCAGCAGCCGCGGUAAUACGUAGGGGGCAAGCGUUAUCCGGAUUUACUGGGUGUAAAGGGAGCGUAGACGGCAGUGCAAGUCUGAAGUGAAAGCCCCGGGCUUAACCCGGGAAUUGCUUUGGAAACUGUACGGCUGGAGUGCUGGAGAGGUAAGCGGAAUUCCUAGUGUAGCGGUGAAAUGCGUAGAUAUUAGGAGGAGCACCAGUGGCGAAGGCGGCUUACUGGACAGUAACUGACGUUGAGGCUCGAAAGCGUGGGGAGCAAACAGGAUUAGAUACCCCCGUAAAC
rnacentral:rRNA from 1 species